CAAUAAUGGGAGGAUAGCUAGUUACCCUGUGGUAAAGGGUAGUUUGUCACAGUUUGCGCUUGUGAGCAGCAGUCUUUAAGUCUGACCACAGAUAUUGGCUUGAGGUCUGGGCUUUGAGUAGGCCAUUCCAACACAUUUACAUGUUUCCCCUUAAACCACUCAAGCGUUGCUUUUCAUUGUCCUGCUGGAAGGUAAACCUCCAUCCUAGCGUCAAAUCACGCACAGAGUGGUACAGAUAUUGCUCAAAAAUAUCCCUGUAUUUAGAACCAUCCAUCUUUCCCUCAACUCUGACCAAUUUCCCAGUCCCGGCUGCUGAAAAACAUUCCCACAGCAUGAUGCUGCCACCAUGUUUCACUGUAGGGAUCGUGUUCUUUGGGUGAUGUGAUGUGUUGGGUUUGCGCCAGACAUAGCGUUUUUUUAUUUGA